CCUACGGGUGGCUGCAGUGGGGAAUAUUGGGCAAUGGGCGCAAGCCUGACCCAGCAACGCCGCGUGAAGGAAGAAGGCUUUCGGGUUGUAAACUUCUUUUGUCAGGGAAGAGUAGAAGACGGUACCUGACGAAUAAGCCACGGCUAACUACGUGCCAGCAGCCGCGGUAAUACGUAGGUGGCAAGCGUUGUCCGGAUUUACUGGGUGUAAAGGGCGUGUAGCCGGGUUGACAAGUCAGAUGUGAAAUCCUGCGGCUUAACCGCAGAACUGCAUUUGAAACUGUUGAUCUUGAGUACUGGAGAGGCAGACGGAAUUCCUGGUGUAGCGGUGAAAUGCGUAGAUAUCAGGAGGAACACCGGCGGCGAAGGCGGCCUGCUGGACCGCGACUGACGUUGAGGCUCGAAAGCGUGGGGAGCGAACAGGAUUAGAUACCCUAGUAGUC
rnacentral:rRNA from 1 species